UACGUAGGGGGCAAGCGUUGUUCGGAAUUACUGGGCGUAAAGGGCGCGUAGGCGGCACGGCAAGUCGGGAGUGAAAGCCCGGGGCUCAACCCCGGAGGGUCUCUCGAAACUGCCGAGCUAGAGUGCGGAAGAGGCAAUCGGAAUUCCCAGUGUAGCGGUGAAAUGCGUAGAUAUUGGGAAGAACACCGGAGGCGAAGGCGGAUUGCUGGGCCGACACUGACGCUGAGGCGCGAAAGCGUGGGGAGCAAACAGG
rnacentral:rRNA from 1 species